UAUGACGUAAAUAAAAUGUUAUGUUGGUAUGUGCAUACAGUAAAAGCCGUAAAAAUGUCAAGCUCGGCAAAGCAUAUGUAUGUAAGAGAAGGAAAACUGCGAACGGAAUCGAACAUUAAAUAUUUUUAAUUGUAUGAAGCAGAAUUGUAUUAAAGAAAAGUGAAAUUUUGUAUGAUGCCUGUGGAAAUCCCUAACAAAACAAUAUAACCUGGAUAUCGGCACAAGUUAUUAGAGAAAGUUAUGGAUCAAUUGCGUCCAUUUUUUGGUAAUGUACCCUGAGAUGUUUGGCUGACGGUGUAAUAGGCCAACGUUUGGCAAAGACCGAGUAUAUUACGAUAAUAUCUAUCUCCAAAGGAAUGUUGCAUAUUUUGGAAUUGUGUUUUGCUUUUACAGAAAUAUUUAUGGGCUUACCGACAGAUAUUUUUAUAAAGAAAAACUGUAACGAUCUCUUUUUGGUUCAUGCUGUUAGAUAAACAUAGCUCUUAUACCCUACGUAACAUGUUGCGUGGGUACGGAAACCAUAGAGACAGUUAAUUUGCCACAUAUACCGUUACAGUUGCUUGGCCGACGUUAUCCAUCUCUUUGUACAACGUAUUGAGGUUUACUACAAAGAAAGCAGCCUUCGAUAUUAUGAGAUGUCCAAAUUACCCCUAAUGAAUUAUUGGAAGAUUUGGUUGAUUUCUGAAGAACGACCUUUACCAGAAAUUAUUAUUAUCCACUCCACGCCCCCGGUUACAAAUUAACUACAAACUUUUUAUUUACUCUCCUUGUCGAAGAUGUACGUAGGUGUCACGACCAGUAUAUAUCUCUUCCAUAGAUUAAAAGAGACUUGGAGGAAAACGUUUUAGAUACUGUGUAGUCAAAUAGCCGAAACUGGACCUGGUCUUUUCAACGGAGUGGAGGUCUUCUUCUGAUUCCCCGGUGGGUACCGCGUCGAAUACUCUCAGAGCUGGAGUGUUUUCAUGCAUUCGGACGACAUGACGUAGCCAGCGUAGCCAUAUCUCUUAACUUUCUGAACUAUGGUAAUGUCGUCGCAUAUCUGAUCGUUCCAUCGAAUGCGGUAUCCACCGUUGUCAAUGCGCAAAGGACCAUAAAUGUUCAGCAGAAAGUUCGUAACACCGACAGAUGUUGUCAUCGUCUAUGCCUCUGCACCAAAUAGCAGAAGGGGGAUGAUGAGUAACUUAUAGAUUUUGAUCUUUGUUCGUCGUGAGGGGAAUUUACUUCUCAAUUGUCUACUCAGUCCGCAGUAACACCCGUUGGCAUGAGUUAUUCUGGUUUGGAUUUCGAUGCUGACAUUGUUAUCAAUUAAAAUACUUACAUUCUUCUGGAAUUAAAAAAAAAUUGUUUCACCUCAACUUCACUUUUAUGUUAAAUUUUGAUAAACCUUACGAUUUGUACAUAAAUACUAAUUAUUUGUGUGUUGCAAUAUUUUUUAUUUGAUUUAUUUUUAUAUAGUAUACAUAUACACAGUCAAAAAUCCAUUUACGACACU